UGGGGAAUUUUUCGCAAUGGGCGAAAGCCUGACGGAGCAAUACCGCGUGAGGGAGGAAUGCCUUUGGGUUGUAAACCUCUUUUCUCAGGGAAGAAGAUCUGACGGUACCUGAGGAAUAAGUAUCGGCUAACUCCGUGCCAGCAGCCGCGGUAAUACGGAGGAUGCAGCGUUAUCCGGAAUCAUUGGGCGUAAAGCGUCCGCAGGUGGUUUCCAAAGUCUGCUGUUAAAGACUGGAGCUCAACUCCGGAACGGCGGUGGAAACUUGGAAACUAGAGUUCGGUAGGGGUAGCAGGAAUUCCCAGUGUAGCGGUGAAAUGCGUAGAUAUUGGGAAGAACAUCGGUGGCGAAGGCGUGCUACUGGACCGUAACUGACACUCAGGGACGAAAGCUAGGGGAGCGAAAGGGAUUAGAUACCCCUGUAGUCCUAGCUGUAAACGAUGGAAACUAGGUGUGGCU
rnacentral:rRNA from 1 species